AACAAAUUUUCUUUCAGAUCUCUCAAGACAUGCUUAAAUGUCAAUGUGGAAUUCGAAAGAUCCUGCGUACACCUGCUUGACCAGAUUCAUAUGAACAUCGCCCAGGGCAUGGCAUCUGGUACUGGAAAUGCGCAUCUACGAUCCCGUCUAUGGAAUGCAGUGACAAUGCUUUGCUUUAUCUUGCUGACAUUUUCAGUUUCAGUGUUGGCUCGAGAAAAAACUCCACCGGAGUGGAGACCGGCC
rnacentral:lncRNA from 1 species